rnacentral:rRNA from 1 species
AGCAGUAGCCGCGGGAAUACGGAGGGUGCAAGCGUUAAUCGGAAUUACUGGGCGUAAAGCGCACGCAGGCGGUCUGUUAAGUCAGAUGUGAAAUCCCCGGGCUCAACCCGGGAACUGCAUUUGAAACUGGCAGGCUUGAGUCUUGUAGAGGGGGGUAGAAUUCCAGGUGUAGCGGUGAAAUGCGUAGAGAUCUGGAGGAAUACCGGUGGCGAAGGCGGCCCCCUGGACAAAGACUGACGCUCAGGUGCGAAAGCAUGGGGAGCAAACAGGAUUAGAUACCCCGGUAGUCCCUGUCUCUUAUAC